AGAGUUUGAUCCUGGCUCAGGAUGAACGCUAGCGGCAGGCUUAACACAUGCAAGUCGAGGGGCAACGCGAGUAGCAAUACUUGGCGGCGACCGGCGCAAGGGUGCGUAACGCGUGAGCAACAUGCCCGUAUCAGGGGGAUAAUCCAGGGAAACUUGGUCUAAUACCCCAUAGUAAUUUUGUAAGGCAUCUUAUAAGAUUUAAAGCUUUGGUGGAUACGGAUUGGCUCGCGUGACAUUAGCUGGAUGGUAAGGUAACGGCUUACCAUGGCUAUGAUGUCUAGGGGUUCUGAGAGGAAGGUCCCCCACACUGGAACUGAGACACGGUCCAGACUCCUACGGGAGGCAGCAGUGAGGAAUAUUGGACAAUGGAUGGAAAUCUGAUCCAGCCAUGCCGCGUGAAGGAAGAAGGUCCUAUGGAUUGUAAACUUCUUUUGUAUGGGAGCAAUAAGGCCUACGAGUAGGUUGAUGAGAGUACCAUACGAAUAAGCACCGGCUAACUCCGUGCCAGCCGCCGC
rnacentral:rRNA from 1 species